UAAGGAAUAUUGGACAAUGGACGCAAGUCUGAUCCAGCCAUGCCGCGUGAAGGAUGAAUGCCCUCUGGGUUGUAAACUUCUUUUAUAGGGGAAGAAAGAUACUUUUUUUAAGGUAGUUGACGGUACCCUAUGAAUAAGCACCGGCUAACUCCGUGCCAGCAGCCGCGGUAAUACGGAGGGUGCAAGCGUUAUCCGGAUUUACUGGGUUUAAAGGGUGCGUAGGCGGGCAUGUAAGUCAGUGGUGAAAUACCGGAGCUUAACUUCGGAACUGCCAUUGAUACUAGAUGUCUUGAAUAUUGUGGAUGUAAGCGGAAUAUGGCAUGUAGCGGUGAAAUGCAUAGAUAUGACAUAGAACACCGAUUGCGGAGGCAGCUUGCUACGCAAAUAUUGACGCUGAGGCACGAAAGCGUGGGGAUCAAACA
rnacentral:rRNA from 1 species